rnacentral:lncRNA from 1 species
AGCUAAUCUCCACCAAGGGGGCCGGCCUCUUAGAGAGAAAAUGAGAGCUUUGUGUUCUCAUCCUUUCCCCAAAAGAAAAUCCUAAGGAUGGAAUGGCUAUAAAGUUGCCUUUAUACCACCCCAUAAUGGAGUGGCAAACUUGCAAUUAAAGCAAGUUCACUACCCUUCUCAAUUUGGCCGGCCUUAAGGGUUUAUUGGGCUUUCAAGCCCUUUGUUUAUUCAAGUUGUCAUACAACUUGAGUUAAUGAGCUUGACAUUCAAAUCCCAUUGGGCCUUGCGGCCCAAAACUAACCCUAGGUCUAUAACGAACUUAUUCGUUUGAUUAAUUAACAUAUUAAUUAAUCCUAGCCAUAAAUAAUUAAACCAUUUAAUUAUCCUUACUCAUCUCCGUUGUUUCUUCAAUCUCUACCUUACACGGUGUACGAUCCAUUAGGUUCCUUUUAGCGAGGCAGUGGGCGAUUGUUACUCUUAAUGAUCGAUUGUGAAUUGAAACUUACUUUCAAUUCUCCCUUUUGUGAUUAUACACGUUUAGGGCUUCCACAAACCAUGAGUGACACCUAGCAGUAUGUCAUGGUUACCUAAGCUAAUCAGAAGAGCUGGAGAACCUAUUUAGUUUAGGAUUACAAUGCAAUACGGUCUUUCUCUAAUACAAUACUCUUAACCACAUUGUUUGGUUUGAUAGUUUAAUCAUGUCUACUAUCCAAUGUGAUUCAUUUACUUAUAUGAUUACCUUGAAUGUGAUUUGGAAUGACUUCCUAAAUCUCAUUCAUACUCUGGCCAAAGAUUCUUAAUCAUAUCAUAGAGUAUUCACCCUCAAACGAUUUGAAGGUUGAGAUCCCUUGUUAUGCAUUCACUUGCCUCCAUGGCUAAGUGGCUUAACCCCAACUAGGUCGUGGACACCCUCUGACAGAGUGACUUUGACAUAGUCAAAGAUCAAGGACCUAACCACAAGACAACUAUGAUGCCUCAGGUCAAAGGACUACUUUGCAUUAUCCCAACCAUGAGUUCUCAUGUGACAUGAGUAUGAGAACUCCUUGUUGAUCGUGUUCAGUGGACUCAUUCUCUGUUGAGCACCUAGAUGCUUGUCUUGGUGCCAAUCACACCAAUGACUCGAGACCAGUCACUCUCCCUAAGAGAAGACACAGCACGUACUAAUCUUAACGGACUGUCAAUGCCCAAUUGGCAAUCCUAUGAUCAGGAACGUUUAGGAUAUGUAUAUGAAAGAGAAUGGUCUCAUGAAUCUAACUUCUUUAAAUUACAUUCUCCUAGUUACAUAUUCCUUGGACUUAUCAUUUAAGCAUAUAACAUUUAUAUGAGACGGCUUAAAACAAUAAUCUUUGCCCUUGUUAUUAAACUAGAUUAGUUUAACAUGUGAAAUGUCCGUAAAGUAUCAUCAUAUGAUUGGUUUUAGGGCACAUUUCUAACAGUAAUUUGGUUUUUAAUUAUUCGUAUAUUUUUUAUCUCUAUUGCUUCCGCAUUGUGCACAUGGCUACGUCACUCUCACGUGACGGCUAGCAUGCCUUGAUCAAUGAUCAAUGAUUAACUCAUAGGAACACCUAGUAAUGUCAACUCUAGGAUCCAUGAUCAACUCAGCGAUCUGAGAUGUCCAACUCUAAGCGACUUUAGAGCAUUCUAGUGAAUCCAGUGACCGAAAGGUCGACAAUUUGGGGUUGGCUGAGAUUAUGAUUGGUAAUAUAACUAUUAGCAACCAUGGACAUAUGUUUGAGCUUACUAAGAAGCUCUUGUUCUGACAAACCAUCUAUAUUCCAUUCAUAGAGUUUAUCAGAAGAGACUGAGAAUAGGUGGAAGAGUGGCUGGAAGCCACCUCUGCCUAUUGUUGUUCUUGCCUGACAUUCUUCCCCUGUAAAAAUUCUCUAGUUAAGAAAUCUAGAAUGCAG